rnacentral:rRNA from 1 species
UACGGAGGGUGCAAGCGUUAUCCGGAAUCACUGGGCGUAAAGGGCGCGUAGGUGGUCUGUUAAGUCUGGCGUUAAAGCCUGGGGCCCAACCCCAGAUCAGCGUUGGAUACUGGCAGGCUAGACGGUUGGAGAGGCGAGUGGAAUUACCAGUGUAGCGGUGGAAUGCGUAGAUACUGGUAGGAACACCCAUUGCGAAGGCAGCUCGCUGGACAACACGUGACACUGAGGCGCGAAAGUGUGGGGAGCAAACCGGAUUAGAUACUCGGGUA